rnacentral:rRNA from 1 species
AGAGUUUGAUCAUGGCUCAGAGCGAACGCUGGCGGCAGGCCUAAUACAUGCAAGUCGAACGAUCCUUCGGGAUAGUGGCGGACGGGUGAGUAACACGUGGGAACGUGCCUUUUGGUUCGGAACAACUCAGGGAAACUUGAGCUAAUACCGGAUGUGCCCUUCGGGGGAAAGAUUUAUCGCCAUUAGAGCGGCCCGCGUCUGAUUAGCUAGUUGGUGAGGUAAAGGCUCACCAAGGCGACGAUCAGUAGCUGGUCUGAGAGGAUGAUCAGCCACACUGGGACUGAGACACGGCCCAGACUCCUACGGGAGGCAGCAGUAGGGAAUCUUGCGCAAUGGGCGAAAGCCUGACGCAGCCAUGCCGCGUGAAUGAUGAAGGUCUUAGGAUUGUAAAAUUCUUUCAGCGGGGACGAUAAUGACGGUACCCGCAGAAGAAGCCCCGGCUAACUUCGUGCCAGCAGCCGCGGUAAUACGAAGGGGGCUAGCGUUGCUCGGAAUUACUGGGCGUAAAGGGCGC